rnacentral:rRNA from 1 species
AUGCCUGUUCGAGCGUCAUUUAAACCUUCAAGCCCUGCUUGGUGUUGGGUGCCUGUCCCGCCUCCGCGCGUGGACUCACCUCAAAUCCAUUGGCGGCCCCCGCAAGGCCACGAGCGCAGCAGAAACGCAAACUCGUGUGCCCGGCGGGCGGCUCCCAGAAGCUACACCCACCAGUUUGACCUCGGAUCAGGUAGGGAUACCCGCUGA